AUGGCCGCUGAGGAGGCCAAGAAGGUGGAGGUGGAGACGACCACGGCCACCAAGGACAUCGCCGAGGAGAAGGCCAUCGUGCCCGUGCCCGACAACUCCAAGGCCAUCGUCGCCGUCGUCAAGGAUGCUGAAGGUACAAGAGGUUCAUCUGAAAGAGAUGCUUAUCUCACCAAGAUAAUGUCCGAGAAGAGGACGACGCUGAUCAACGCCUGGGAGGAGAGCGAGAAGGCGAGAGCCGAGAACAGGGCUGCCAAGAAUCUGUCCUUCAUCACUUCAUGGGAGCAUGCCAAGGAAGCCGAGAUGGAGGCCGAGCUGAAAAAGCUCGAGGAGCAACUGGAGAAGAAGAAAGCCGCGUACAAGGAGAAGCUGAAGAACAAGCUCGCGAUGCUCCACAAGUCGGCUGAGGAGAAGAGAGCCAUGGCGGAGGCGAAGCGAGGUGAGGAGAUAAUCAUGGCGGAGGAGAUGGCCGCCAAGUACCGUGCGAAAGGCGAGGCCCCAACGAAGCUCUUCGGGCUCCUGAAAGCAUGA
rnacentral:rRNA from 1 species